UACGAAGGGGGCUAGCGUUGCUCGGAAUCACUGGGCGUAAAGCGCACGUAGGCGGAUCGUUAAGUCAGGGGUGAAAUCCUGGAGCUCAACUCCAGAACUGCCCUUGAUACUGGCGACCUUGAGUUCGGGAGAGGUGAGUGGAACUGCGAGUGUAGAGGUGAAAUUCGUAGAUAUUCGCAAGAACACCAGUGGCGAAGGCGGCUCACUGGCCCGGUACUGACGCUGAGGUGCGGAAAGCGUGGGGAG
rnacentral:rRNA from 1 species